ACGUCGAUGUGUCACAAGGAACGCCGCUCCAUCGUUGAUGCCGACCAAUGAUCCCUCGAGCCCGUGUGUACCUCCAUGAAUGACGCCCCCAAGAGGGAAACGACACCAGAGCAUCGCCGUCAUCCGAUCUACUGAUCUAGGGUUUCCCCCGAAGGUAGCAAAGAGUGGCCUUGAACUUCUCCUCAGCGAUACCUUCAGGAAGGAAACGACGUAGACAACGCCGCCAUCG
rnacentral:lncRNA from 1 species